AACUAGAGAGCUUGUAACAGCACUUGACUUUUAAUCAAGAGAUAAUAUUUAUAUUUCUAGUUA
rnacentral:tRNA from 1 species